rnacentral:lncRNA from 1 species
UGCUGUCCAAUACAUUAAAUCUUGAAUAUAGAUAUAGGAAGAUGUGGUAUGAGUACCAAUGAGACAACUCUCCAUCCAAGUAACAAUUUGUAAAAAUAAACCAUUAUAGAUCAAGGUACAGCCUUCAACAUGAAGCCUUGGCUCACACGGAACAGCAAGCUAUAAAAAUUACUAGUGUAAAACCAUUCAAACAGGAAAAACAACAGUCUAAUCUAUAUAAAAAAAAAAUAUGCAUGAAAUAUUUGCAACAGUUCAAACUGCCCAAAAUUGGAAUUGCUUCAGGGCGGAAAAGAAAGAUUCAAUUAGACAGGGGUGACCUUAUUCACACAAACUACAGGGUAACAGUCAUACAUUGCUACUUGAAAGGUGCUUAUACAAGUGUUCACUGUAUACAGGUUUUCCUCUUAUCAAGGAUUUUAUGUAGACAACUUUCACUGUACACAGGUUUUACCCUUAUGUACACAUUAGUUUCACUGUACACCCGUUUUAUUCCUAUGUAGACAAGUUUCACUGUACACAGGUUUUACUCUUAUGUAGACAAGUUUCACUGUAUAUACUGAAUGUUUCUAGUCAGGUUUCUACAGUAUUUCAAUAAGUGUUUUGACAUAUACCCCAACAUCGCAUAAUAUUUAUGUUAAGUUUGUCUUUUUUUUGUAUAAGCCAAUUUCAUAAUGUAAAAAUUGUUGAAUUUAAAAAAGUGAAUCACUUGUGCAAAUAAUCUCAUAUUGUAUAUAAGCCCAUAACAACGUUAUAAAUUCCAUAACUGUAAAAAAAAAAUUGAAUUUUAAAAAAAUUGAAUCACUUGUGCAAAUAAUCGGUGAGCUGUAACGGAAAUUUGAUAAGGUGCAAGUCAUAAUUUAUUACCUGCGAAACCACAUAUUUGUCUUGAAAUUAUUUUGAGUAAAUAUUACAUACAUUUCAAUUAAACAUAAACAAAAACUAAUGUUAUAUAAAUAAAAACCUCACACACAUUACAUUCAUACGAUGUAACCUUAGGGUAACUUACGAAAUUUAAAACCAAAUCUUAAUUCUACCCCUUUAAAUCUACCCAGGUAGAAAAUUAAGAUAAAAAAAGAGAAUAUUAUGAUUUAAUUGUGUUAUUGGAUGUUUACAACCCCUC